UGUUGGUAUUGCUUCGUAGACACUAACAUUGCACAUAAAUGAAAAAGUUAUGUUCUUUUUCUCCAUUUAUGAAAAAACAACUUCACAAUUAUCCUUGUGAAAUUUUAUAUAUAUAUGUAUAUAAAAAAAGCAUAAAAUAUAAAAAAUCUCAACAACCAUCCUGUAUGUUGGAACAAUUUCAAUGCAUGAUAUCAAAAGUGCAAUUUACAAUGUGCUUGUUCCAGAUGUGGUUGCGAGUUCUGUGGAAGUCAUGGCAGACCUGUUAGAUGCAAAAAAAAAAAAAAAAAAUCAAAAGAUUUUUCAACGAG